rnacentral:rRNA from 1 species
CCUACGGGAGGCAGCAGUGAGGAAUAUUGGUCAAUGGGCGGGAGCCUGAACCAGCCAAGCCGCGUGAGGGAAGAAGGUACAGCGUAUCGUAAACCUCUUUUGUCAGGGAACAAAGGCGGGGACUAGUCCCCGGAUGAGGGUACCUGAAGAAAAAGCAUCGGCUAACUCCGUGCCAGCAGCCGCGGUAAUACGGAGGAUGCGAGCGUUAUCCGGAUUUAUUGGGGUUAAAGGGUGCGCAGGCGGCCGGUUAAGUCAGCGGUAAAAGCCCGGGGCUCAACCCCGGCGAGCCGUUGAAACUGGCGGGCUUGAGUUGGAGAGAAGUACGCGGAAUGCGCGGUGUAGCGGUGAAAUGCUUAGAUAUCGCGCAGAACCCCGAUUGCGAAGGCAGCGUACCGGCUCCACACUGACGCUGAGGCACGAAAGCGUGGGUAUCGAACAGGAUUAGAUACCCGUGUAGUC